rnacentral:lncRNA from 10 species
UCCGCUGCUGCCCCGUGAAGACGUGCCUUCCGCCAUGAUUGUAAGUUUCUUAAGGCCUCUCCAGCCAUGCGGAACUGGCACAGAAACGCUCUUCAGACCAUACUCCUACUGCCAGGGGAUGGAGAAGGCAUGGUGUCAGCAAUUCAAGACUGUUUUUCCUACCUCUUCAGUGUCUCUUUCGGCAAAAUGAAGUGAAAAUCAGGAACAAGAUGUCUCCAGAGUUAAAUACAUGAAUUAAAUGCAAUUUCAAUGGAUGUCCCAAUGUUUUAAAUUGAAUAACAUGACUUUAAAGAAGAUAUGGGAAACUUCAACUCCCAGAAAAAUGAAGUAGAUACAUACUUCUCUAUUCCUUCCACUAAGUACAACUGAAAACCGUGACACUAUAUAUAAAACAAACAUAAGAAGACUCUGAAAGGCAAGAAUGGGUUUUCUUUUGCCUCCUUUAUUCCAGACUUGUAACUGAAGAAGCCAUCAACCAAGAAAUUUCCAACAGACCCAGAUGGAAAAAGUCCCAGUGAAAGCCUGUUCUUUAGCCAAAGGGGCCAGAAAAGAGCAAGAUAGCAGGACAAGUGUCAUUGAGGAGAAUUUGCCUAGGAGAUGCAAAGAGAGAGAAGCCUAUACUUUGAGGGUGGAAGCCCCUCCAACAGGCAACAUGACUGCAGCACAAUCAACUAUGGCUUUGCUGAUCUCGUGUAUCAUCAUCCUCAUCAUCCUCAUCCCCGCAAUUGCAGCAAACGUCCAGUUGUGCACUUACUGCUGAUGAUGAAUAAAUGUAUAGAACAGGAAAAAAUGUAUCUCACCUUCAGACAGAAGGUUGCACUCACAUCCUUAGCAGUUAUAAACAAGGCUUAAAAACAAGACUGAGUUUACAUGAAUGAUUUGUUUUUAGACUGAGGGCUAUAUGAUUGCUUUGGUAGUAGUGGUCCCUAAUGGAGCUAUGUUAAUUGGCAUCUGGGUUAGAAAAGAAAAAUUAAUAUGGCCCUCAGAGGCAAGAACUGGGGCUCGUCUACAUUUAGUGGAAUCUUUCAGAGCCUCUUUAGAGGGGCACACACCCUAGAGAGGAUGAUGAAGAC